UCCUAAGUACUAGAAGUACAGGAUUUGCCACCACACCCAGCAAAAAUAUGUCUGUUAGAUCAUUCUUCUUACUUUAUAUUUUUCCAAAAUAUUAAUCCACAAGAGAUAGGAAAUUUGAAGAACUGGUCCUUCAUCCCACAUGAUUCCACGACAAACAUCUAAUGACAAGGAGAUCAUCACCAGGGAUCGAACUUGGGACCUUGCACUUUUAAGGCAGGAAGCAGAAUCCCCAGCCCAAUACAGCAUAAUGUUAACAGCAGUUAGAAGAUAUUUGGAUGAUAUUCCAAGAGGAAAUCUCACUGAACAAAAGCGCCUCAGCACAAUACCACGCCCCUAAGAGGGGAGUACAGGUCGACCUGGGACUCUGGGUGAGGGUCACGUACAGAGGAGCAAGACCAGAGGCAAAGUUUCCUUCUCAUCGGAUCCAAGGUACACGCAGCACGACUUGUCACUGCUCAUGUGGACUCCGAUCACCGGGCUGGGCUGUCCAAGAUUCUCCACUGUACACUCUUCCCUUGCUCACCUACAGUACUCUUGGGAAGGAGUCCACUACGUGCAGACAAGAUAAGGGGCCCAGCACUGGGUUUCAUUUUCUGAAGGUGGAGCAUCUACAAAAAUUGCUUGGUGAAUUGUUAAAAAAAAAAAGUUUGGAAUUAUUCUGCAGACUUCUAUUCAUUUACAUAGAUCAGGGACACAGGGCUUUCAUAGUUGGAGUUAUAACCCAAUUUUACUUUGUCUUGUUGCUUUGACAGUUCUAUCACUGUAGAAUUUUUUUUUUUUAAAUCACCUCCUUACUUCCUGGCAUGGUAAGAUAUUCCAGGCAUAUUUUGUUUCUUUCCCACUCCAUAUCCACAGUCAGUCAUUUUUCGAAGGAGCUCCAGUUCCUUUGAUUGAAUGGUGUUAGAAGUCGAGAUACAGGGUUACUGCUGGAGGAAAUCAACUUUUAUUAGGGAACUGGGUGGUUGCUAGAAUACCUACUCUGAAUGUGCAAUUCCCAGCACUGAAAAAAAAAAU